UCCGUUAUGGUGUAGUGGCUAACAUUAUCGCCUCUCAUUCUGCUGAUCCUCUCCGUCUGAACGCGAUAGCUCAGGGUUCGAAUCCCUGCAACGAAA